UUAAAUGCUAAAAUAUCUCCAAGAACAAAAGCAUACAAUAACUCUCAUAAUCUAAUUUUCUCAUGAUAUGGUUGUUGUUAAGUAGAGGACCUAAUUAUUUCAAACUUAAUUAAACACCACUACUACUAAUUAACAUUAUAAUCUAAUUAAUGAAAUUAAAACUUAAAAAAAAAUCACUUAUUCAAGUCGAUGAGAAUGAUGAAUUUAUUAUCAAACUUUCCAAGCCAACUCUAAAGAGUUCCUCAAACAAUUUCGAUGCAUGAACCACUCAAAAGGUAUUCAAUUCAUUUGCACAUCACAGUCAAUUUAAAGGCCAAAAAAUAACCAUGCAAU
rnacentral:lncRNA from 1 species